ACGUUCACACCGGUCAUUCGCGACCAG
rnacentral:miRNA from 1 species